UAAAAAAAAUUGUACAGUGAUUUCAGGAGUGUCUUAAAAACCCUCUAAAACAGAGGAGAAGUUCCAAGAAAAUGUCUAACGGGAGCUGCUGACAGAGAUAGAAAACACAGGUGAUGCUACAAAGCUUAUUAAAUAACUUCAUAUUUAUUUUUUACAAUAUAUCAUCAUGCAUCUGUAAAAUCUAAACAUGUGAAUUCUGGUAUCUAAAGAUUUUUGUAUGUUUUCCAUAUUGCUAUUUUUCUUUUCUGCAUUUCCCCUAUUCUCUAGUUUGUUUAUUUCUAAUAAGGAGCUGGAGGCCGUGAAGAUACAGAUCCAUGAUAUUGUGGAGAAGCAGGCCCAGCUGAGCGAGUGGAGAGCUGUGCUGGAAAUAUUCAGGGGUUGAUGCUCAUAAGUCCAGGUGUAAGACAUGAUCCAGGCCCUGGGCGACGACCUCUCUCCAUCCGCCGCCUCCGGUCUUCAGGAUCUCCACCAGAACCCGAUUCGCUCCACUUCGCGAGACAGAACAAAACGCUGUGAUCAUCAGAGACUCCAUCGUCCGGCACGUUUGCGCUAUGUUAGCUGAAGGUAAAGUCCACACUGACUACUUCCCUGGUGCUCAUGUUCUUGAUAUUUCUGCACAGAUUCCCGUGACCCUGAAGAGUGAGGUGGGCAUCAGAGCGGACGGAGACACUGAAGAGCGACUUCAGGAGCCUGAUCAAGACGGUGCGCAGCAUAUCGCCUGCAUGAUGAUCAUCGUGUCAGGACCACUUCCCACGUAUAGAUGAGGACAUGAAAGGUUCAGCAGACUUUUUGCUUUAAACGAAUGGUUAUAGUCAUGGUGUAAAGAACAGAAACUGCCUUUUGUUAAUAAUUGGAAUCUUUUCUGGGAGCUAGGCUUUUUAGAUCUCCUGUUGGACAACAUCUCCAGGACACUUCGCUCCAUAUGACUAGGCAGUUUGUGAAAAGAGAUAAUCAAGAGAAGUCAGUUCCAGAUCCACCCUCCACACCAGACCUCUCUCUCACGAGGAUUGCUGUCUACUAGCAUAUUGUGUUCUUCAGCUCUUCAGACUUCGGUGGAUGCAGAUAUUACUCAGGGACAUGAACACUAGAAUAUUGCAAGAAUAGAGAAAAGGGACUUUGCGGGGGAUUCUUGAAAAUAGAUUAGCUUCACACAGACGUCUUCUAACUGUCACAGUACUUACAGGUAACUCCAGACUGUCUUUGAUCAUCCUGGAGGUGAUCAUUGGCUGAGCCUUUGCCAUUCUGGUUAUUCUUCUAUCCAUUUUGAUGGUUGUCUUCCGUUUUCUUCCACGUCUCUCUGGUUUUGCUCUCCAUUUUAAGGCAUUGGAGAUCAUUUUAGCUGAACAGCCUAUCAUUUUUUGCACCUCUUUAUAGGUUUUCCCCUCUCUAAUCAACUUUUUAAUCAAAGUACGCUGUUCUUCUGAACAAUGUCUUGAACGACCCAUUUUCCUCAGCUUUCAAAUGCAUGUUCAACAAGUGUUGGCUUCAUCCUUAAAUAGGGGCCACCUGAUUCACACCUGUUUCUUCACAAAAUUGAUGACCUCAGUGAUUGAAUGCCACACUGCUAUUUUUUUGAACACACCCCUUUCAACUAAUUCAACUAAUUGCCCAAUUGCACAGCCUUAAGAGCGUGCAUAUCAUGAAUGCUGGGUCUCAUUUGUUUUCUGACAAUCUACUGAACCUACUGGUAACUUGUUUGCCACGUAGCAAUAAAAAAAUAUACGAAAAACCUUGAUUAUUCUGGUUAGUCACAUUGUACUGCUAUUAUUUUGAACAAUACUGUAUAUAUUUAGAUAUAUUUUUGUGGCAGUGUGAACUGGCCAUAAUGCUGUAUGAUAGGUGUGAGAUUCAUUAAACUUGAUUUGCUAUAAUACAUCUGUUCAUAAGCUAUAGCAUAUUAUUUUCAAUGAAUUAUUUGUAGUGGUUUGGUUAAGGGUGUGAUUAGCUGAAGAUUAUUGUGGGAUCUUGUGAUUAGUUGAUGAAUGUGUGCAUUGUUAAUGAUAAUAUUUAAAUGCAAUGUACUGAGUGCUUACUAAGACUUGCAUGUUGUGCAUAAUGUUUUGACCCUGGAUGCUUACAGAAGGGUAUAGAUAUUUCAAUAUAUGGAAAUGUAUUUAUUAUUAAUAUAUCUCAAUCUAUGUGCUUCUGUAUGGGCUGAAUGCUUUCAUUCAUAUUUCGCUGUAUAUCCUGUUUUUAUUAAUAAUCUGGGUGUAUUACUGUUCAUAUUUGCUUGUUAAUAAAUUAACUGAAUUCA